UGGUGACCUCGACCUUGACCCC
rnacentral:misc_RNA from 1 species